GAGCUGAUGGACGCGGAAGAGCAACUGAUGUCAUCUACCUGGACUUGUGCGAAGUAUUUGACACUGUCCCACUCAACAUCCUUGUCUUUAAACUGGAGAUACAUGGAUUUGAUUGAUGGACCACUUGGU